AUUGAACGCUGGCUGCAGGCCUAACACAUGCAAGUCGAACGAGUGCCGCACGGGUGAGUAAUGUCUGGGAAACUGCCUGAUUUAGGGGGAUAACUACUGGAAACGGUAGCUAAUACCGCAUACCAUCAGAUGUGCCCAGAUGGGAUUAGCUAGUUGGUGGGGUAACGGCUCACCAAGGCGACGAUCCCUAGCUGGUCUGAGAGGAUGACCAGGCACACUGGAAUUGAGACACGGUACAGACUACAACGGGAGGCAGCGGAGGGGAAUAUUACACAAUGGGCGCAAGGCUGAUGCAGCCCUGCCGCGUGUAUGAAGAAGGCCUUCGGGUUGGAAAGUACUUUCAGCGGGGAGGAGGUACCAGAAGAAGAAGCACCGGCUAACUCCGUGCCAGCCGCCGCGGUAAUAC
rnacentral:rRNA from 1 species